UACGUAGGGGGCAAGCGUUAUCCGGAUUUACUGGGUGUAAAGGGAGCGUAGACGGCUGUGCAAGUCUGAAGUGAAAGGCAUGGGCUCAACCUGUGGACUGCUUUGGAAACUGUGCGGCUAGAGUGUCGGAGAGGUAAGUGGAAUUCCUAGUGUAGCGGUGAAAUGCGUAGAUAUUAGGAGGAACACCAGUGGCGAAGGCGGCUUACUGGACGAUGACUGACGUUGAGGCUCGAAAGCGUGGGGAGCAAACAGG
rnacentral:rRNA from 1 species